CGUUAGCCAAACCCGAUUGCAGUGGAAAUACUUUUUUGAGCAAGUGAAAAACCUUACAGGUUUGCGCUAUAGUCCAUGCGUUGGCAAAACCUGCAAGGUUUGUAGCAUAGGAUAAAAAAGAUUGCAACGAAAAGCGGGUCUGAUG
rnacentral:sRNA from 1 species